rnacentral:rRNA from 1 species
UUAAAUUGAAGAGUUUGAUCAUGGCUCAGAUUGAACGCUGGCGGCAGGCCUAACACAUGCAAGUCGAACGGUAACAGGAAACAGCUUGCUGCUUCGCUGACGAGUGGCGGACGGGUGAGUAAUGUCUGGGAAACUGCCUGAUGGAGGGGGAUAACUACUGGAAACGGUAGCUAAUACCGCAUAACGUCGCAAGACCAAAGAGGGGGACCUUCGGGCCUCUUGCCAUCGGAUGUGCCCAGAUGGGAUUAGCUAGUAGGUGGGGUAACGGCUCACCUAGGCGACGAUCCCUAGCUGG